GGAUAUGCUUACUGUGGAGCCCCGAGA
rnacentral:sRNA from 1 species